AGAGCAGGUCGGGCGGUCGCCGCCGCGUGCUAAACGCGGGGGAGGAAAGUCCGAACACCACAGGGCAGCGAGCCAGUUAACGGCUGGGCAUGUGUCCGCGGAAGCUGCAACUUUCGAGUUGCCGGCGCUGCGGGGGCAUGACGACAAGUGCAACAGAAAACAGACCAGCCAGCGGGCCGGCGUUAACGUCGCGCAGCGGGUGAUGGGUGAAACGGUGCGGCCCCGCAAAAACGGGGCUUAAUGUAAGAGCGCACCAGCGCGGUUGGUAACAGUCGCGGCUAGGUAAACUCCUCGCGGUGCAAGACCAAAUAGGGAGGCGUCACAUAGGGCUGCCCGCCCGAAGCGCGUUGCGAUGCAGCGCGCUACGACCUCCGGGUAGGUCGCUCGAUCCAUUCGGCGACGGAUGGGCUAGAUGAAUGAUCGCCGCUCCAGCUUCGGUCGGAGUACAGAAUUCGGCUUACAGACCUGUUCUCAAC
rnacentral:RNase_P_RNA from 1 species